UUGCUACGGGCGGUUCUCUGAAAACUUACGGGUUACGCCGGCCACCCCCGGGGGGGAAAUGAACUCGCGGGACACCGUAGAGACGCUGCUCAGCUGUGUCGCGGUGAAUGAAAGGCCGGAUUCCUCAAGAAGCACAUGCACGUAACCUGGGGACAGGGUGACGACCUCCGUCGUGAUGUCUCAUUAAAUCUACGUCUUCCUCAGAGAUGAAGGUGAUCCACUCCUGUAACGCUGGGUGACGACCUCGGCUCGUGCUGUUGCAUUAAAUCUACGUCUUCCUCAGAGAGGAAGGUGAUCCACUCUUGUGACCCUGGCCUGAUGUGAAAGGGGGCAUCUGGAUCUUGGGAGUCCUUUUGGAAGACCCCCUACUGAGGGUGACGACCUCGCAUUAAAUCUACGACAUCUUCCACAGAGAUGAAGGGGACGCUGGGUGACGACCUCACAUUAAAUCUACGACGUCUUCCACACAGAUGAAGAUGAUCCACUCCUGUGACGCUGGUACGUUUUUAACUUAAUGUAUGAUCCUGUUCAGUCUUGUCGCUGUGAUGAUGCUUUUUCCGCCAUUCGUAGUUUCCACCAGAGGUCCUAACGGACCAGAGAUGGCCCAAACCUUCCUUGGAUGUCUGAGCGACUGAAGGAGAACGAUGAUAACUUCGGUCUUUAAUAUUCAUCAUAACUAAAUGCAUCUCAUAUCUCCCUUUCAGGCCUGAUGUGAAAGGGAACAUCUGGAUCUUGGAGUCCUUUUUGGAAGACCCCCCCCACUGAGGAGCAGUAGGUGUGUAUCUCAUCUGUUUAACCCUCGUGUUGUCCUCAGGUCAAAUUUGACCGGUUUUCAAAAAAAUUUUAAUUUUUAUAUCAGAAAUAUGGAUUUCUGUCAACUAAAUUACCCUAAAACAACAUGGAUGAUUCCAUACAAUGUUCUUCAGGUAAAAUGAUUACUUUCAUUGAAUUUUUUUUUGGGUGUUUCAUCUAAAUAAAUCCAACUCAGUCUCUUUAUCUGGUUCCUACAUUUCGCUGUGAUGAUGCUUUUCCGCCAUUCGUAGUUUCCACCAGAGGUCCUAACGGACCAGAGAUGGCCCAAACCUUCCUUGGAUGUCUGAGCGAA